CCUACGGGAGGCAGCAGUGAGGAAUAUUGGUCAAUGGGCGGGAGCCUGAACCAGCCAAGCCGCGUGAAGGAAGAAGGCGCUAGGCGUUGUAAACUUCUUUUGUCGGGGAACAAAGUGCGCCACGUGUGGCGUUGUGAGUGUACCCGAAGAAUAAGCAUCGGCUAACUCCGUGCCAGCAGCCGCGGUAAUACGGAGGAUGCGAGCGUUAUCCGGAUUUAUUGGGUUUAAAGGGUGCGUAGGUGGGUAGGUAAGUUAGUGGUGAAAGUGUGGGGCUCAACCGUGAGGUAGCCGUUGAAACUGGCGGACUAGAGGAGAGGAGAGGUAGGCGGAAUGCGCGGUGUAGCGGUGAAAUGCAUAGAUAUCGCGAAGAACUCCGAUUGCGAAGGCAGCUUACCGGAG
rnacentral:rRNA from 1 species